AAUUUUUCCGAGAGUGUCCGCCAGGCCCGGGCCCUGCUCCUGGGCUGACUUACCUGGGACGGCACCGCCCGCAGCCAUGACUCCCGGGCUCUGAGCUCAGCGGCGCCCUAAGCGCCGGAACCGCAUCUCGGCGCCUGUGACAGUUACUGCGCCCGGGGCUGCUCCCCAAGUUGUGGGCAAGACUCCGCUCCCGAUUUCCUUUCAGCACCGAGUGUCAGACGUUGUAGUGUUUAUUCGACCGGAGGCAGGGAGGCCGCUAGUAUCCUAUCACAGCCUGACACAUUUUUGUUAAAUCAAUUGACAAAAGAACUGACACCAGAUGGCCAAUCAACUCAAGAGAAACUUUCAUGGAGACGAUAUGGUUCAAUCAUCUCUUCAAAGACUUUCCAGCUAAAAUUUGAAUUAUAAAGGAGGCCUCACAGUGGGAAACUAACUCAUUAUUUCACAGAUACUCCAGGAUAAUGAGGACAUGUGACAAAUACCAAAUUAACAUGGUGGACAUCAGAAGAGGACAUCUUGGGACAAAGGUCCAGCUUCGAAGAAAAAUAUUUUUGUAUAAAUUUUGUGUAGCCCAAGUAUACAGUGUUGAUAAAAUCUACAGUAGUGUGGUCAUGUCCUGGGGCCUCACAUUCACUCACCACUCACUGACUCACCCAGAGCAACUGCCAGUCCUGCAAGUUCCAUUCAUGGGUCUGUCGGUUCUGAAGCAAUGAUCUGAUAUUGUUUUUACAUCCCUGGGACCGAUGAGGGAGAAAAAUUUAUUUACAAAAUGGACCAAGCUCUGCCCUCACUUACAGACAAGUCAAAGCAGCCAGAGGCCUCCUGUUCACACUCAGGAACACUGAACUGUGAGUCAAAAUGUUGGGUUGAGAUCUGGCACUGACUGGCUGACACCCUGGGUCUGCCAUUUGUCCUCUCUUGAGCCACCAGCACAACACAAUGUACUUGAUAAAAGAUGCCACUGUAAACCUGAAAGGCUUUUGCGAGGUAAGACAAGCAAAUUUGAGAAAAGAGCCUUGUCUUCUAGGCUCUCCAGGGCCACCUCAAAGGCUUUGUCUAAGCUGAAGGCCAUGUAUGAAAUUCAUUCCAAGAUUUCUCAACGAACUUAAAACAGGACUAUCAUUUGACCCAGCAAUCUCUUCACUGGAAACCAACUGUAGGUACAUGGACCUUCUCAAUUUCUCUUAUAAGCAGAAGAGGACAGGGAUGUUCCCUUUGGCUUCCAUGGUGGUCCAGCCUGGAACUGUUUUCCCUAUUGUACACAGAAGAUAGUUUUCUUCUCUAAAUGUUGGGAAACCUCUUCCUUUCCUACUAUGGCAAAAGUGUGAGGCAGCCCCCAACCAGGAGGAGGUGUGUCUGCAGGCAGCAGGUAGAACCAAAGUCAGUCUCAGGAACAGC